rnacentral:rRNA from 1 species
UACAGAGGUCUCAAGCGUUGUUCGGAUUCAUUGGGCGUAAAGGGUGCGUAGGCGGCGCGGUAAGUCGGGUGUGAAAUCUCGGGGCUUAACUCCGAAACUGCAUUCGAUACUGCCGUGCUUGAGGACUGGAGAGGAGACUGGAAUUUACGGUGUAGCGGUGAAAUGCGUAGAUAUCGUAAGGAAGACCUGCGGCGAAGGCGGGUAGCUGGGCCGACACUGACGCUGAGGCGCGAAAGCUAGGGGAGCAAACGGG